rnacentral:rRNA from 1 species
GUGGAUUAGAUACCCUGGUAGUCCACGCCGUAAACGGUGGGCACUAGGUGUGGGGAACAUUCCACGUUCUCCGUGCCGAAGCUAACGCAUUAAGUGCCCCGCCUGGGGAGUACGGCCGCAAGGCUAAAACUCAAAGGAAUUGACGGGGGCCCGCACAAGCGGCGGAGCAUGCGGAUUAAUUCGAUGCAACGCGAAGAACCUUACCUGGGUUUGACAUAUACCGGAAAGCUGCAGAGAUGUAGCCCCCGCAAGGUCGGUAUACAGGUGGUGCAUGGCCGUCGCCAACU